rnacentral:snRNA from 1 species
UUCAGCCCUUUGUCGCUAAGAU